rnacentral:sRNA from 1 species
AAAUUUGAGGUUUUUUUUGCACAAAAUCCUUAUGUUUUUCAACGGAGUUAUCAAGUGCCAUGUCAUCGAUAUACGGGAGGGUUGUAUUGCGGGUGACUUUAGAGAUGGUGGGGUUGACUUGCAUAAUUCGGAUUUGGAGGGUAAACUUGCAAACGAGAUCGACUUGGAGGGUUAUUUUGCAGAAAACCCUUUUCAAUUCUACCAUUUUCUAUUUGUCAUUUUCAUUUAUACCCUAUUUAAAUUUUUAAUGACCAUUUUACCACUAUUUGUA